UCUACAAUUCGGUCGUUCAUUAGGUCAUCUAGCAACGUUUCUUUAGCUAGCUGCCUAGUGAAGGGCAACAUUGUAUU
rfam:Anopheles sinensis unplaced genomic scaffold AS2_scf7180000690005, whole genome shotgun sequence.